rnacentral:ncRNA from 2 species
AAUCGAUUCCGUGGUGAUUUGCGGCCUAUUGCAGCCACGUUAAACAAGUCGCUAAAACGCCAGCCCGUUUGGCGA